UAGGGAAUCUUCGGCAAUGGGGGGAACCCUGACCGAGCAACGCCGCGUGAGUGAAGAAGGUUUUCGGAUCGUAAAGCUCUGUUGUUAAGGAAGAACGAGUGUGAGAAUGGAAAGUUCAUGCUGUGACGGUACUUAACCAGAAAGGGACGGCUAACUACGUGCCAGCAGCCGCGGUAAUACGUAGGUCCCGAGCGUUGUCCGGAUUUAUUGGGCGUAAAGCGAGCGCAGGCGGUUAGAAAAGUCUGAAGUGAAAGGCAGUGGCUCAACCAUUGUAGGCUUUGGAAACUGUUUAACUUGAGUGCAGAAGGGGAGAGUGAAAUUCCAUGUGUAGCGGUGAAAUGCGUAGAUAUAUGGAGGAACACCGGUGGCGAAAGCGGCUCUCUGGUCUGUAACUGACGCUGAGGCUCGAAAGCGUGGGGAGCGAACAGG
rnacentral:rRNA from 2 species